rnacentral:lncRNA from 1 species
UUGGAGCUGAUUCGGUACCAAAAUACGAAGAUUCGGAGACAAAAAUAUGUCUCCCCCAAAGUCAGAAGCUUGGCACGGCCCGUGCUAGCAUUGGCACGGCCGUGCCACCCUCCAGAGUCACUUUUGCUGCUUUUGCUUAGAUUUUAAGCUACUCUAUUUUAGCCCGCAGUUUCUUGUGGAACAUUCUAGUAAUGUAAUUGCUUAGAUUUUAAGUCGAAUGUAUGCUAUAAAUAGAGUAGCUAGCCAUCACAAAUAUUCAUCUUUUCUUGGAAUUCAAUAAGUGACAAUUGUCUUUCUAAUAAAAGUU